UUACGGGGUGCAGCAGGCGCGAAACCUCUGCAAUAGGCGAAAGCCUGACAGGGUUACUCUGAGUGAUUUCCGUUAAGGAGAUCUUUUGGCACCUCUAAAAAUGGUGCAGAAUAAGGGGUGGGCAAGUCUGGUGUCAGCCGCCGCGGUAAUACCAGCACCCCGAGUGGUCGGGACGUUUAUUGGGCCUAAAGCAUCCGUAGCCGGUUCUACAAGUCUUCCGUUAAAUCCACCUGCUUAACAGAUGGGCUGCGGAAGAUACUAUAGAGCUAGGAGGCGGGAGAGGCAAGCGGUACUCGAUGGGUAGGGGUAAAAUCCGUUGAUCCAUUGAAGACCACCAGUGGCGAAGGCGGCUUGCCAGAACGCGCUCGACGGUGAGGGAUGAAAGCUGGGGGAGCAAACCGGAUUAGAUACCCGGGUGGUCCCAGCUGUAAACGAUGCAGACUCGGUGAUGAGUUGGCUUAUUGCUAACUCAGUGCCGCGGGGAAGCCGUUAAGUUUGCCGCCUGGGGAGUACGGUCGCAAGACUGAAACUUAAAGGAAUUGGCGGGGGAGCACA
rnacentral:rRNA from 1 species